CCUACGGGAGGCAGCAGUGAGGAAUAUUGGUCAAUGGGCGCGAGCCUGAACCAGCCAAGUAGCGUGAAGGAUGACUGCCCUACGGGUUGUAAACUUCUUUUAUAAAGGAAUAAAGUGAGGCACGUGUGCCUUUUUGUAUGUACUUUAUGAAUAAGGAUCGGCUAACUCCGUGCCAGCAGCCGCGGUAAUACGGAGGAUCCGAGCGUUAUCCGGAUUUAUUGGGUUUAAAGGGUGCGUAGGUGGGUUGUUAAGUCAGGUGUGAAAGUUUGGGGCUCAACCGGAAAAGUGCAAUUGAUACUGGCAGCCUUGAGUACGGUUGAGGUAUGCGGAAUUCGUGGUGUAGCGGUGAAAUGCUUAGAUAUCACGAAGAACUCCGAUUGCGAAGGCAGCCUACUAAACUGCCACUGACAUUGAUGCUCGAAAGUGUGGGUAUCAAACAGGAUUAGAUACCCUUGUAGUC
rnacentral:rRNA from 1 species